rnacentral:RNase_P_RNA from 1 species
AGAUGGCUGGAUGGUCGCUGCUAGCUGGUGAGUUGGCAGAGGAAAGUCCGGGCUCCACGGAAGCACGGUGCCGGGUAACACCCGGCGGGGGUGACCCUAGGGAAAGUGCCACAGAAAGCAAACCGCCUGUGCGUUUACGCACACAGGUAAGGGUGAAAGGGUGCGGUAAGAGCGCACCGCGUUAGCGGUAACGUUAAUGGCAUGGCAAACCCCACUGGGAGCAAGGCCAAAUAGGGAUAGCGCGUGGUGCCCUGGCAUUACAAGCACGCUUCCGUGUUGCUGUCCGGGUAGGCUGCAUGAGGCGUUUGGUAACGGACGUCCUAGAUGAAUGGCUAUCCACUGCGGGCAAGCCUGCGGUGACAGAACCCGGCUUAUAGGCCAUCUG